AGCCUGAUACAUUUCAUAUCCUUUUGAUAUAAGGAAAUUUCCAUUAAGUAGCAGUGGUUUUCUAGAGCACUAUGCUGAGAUGGACAGCAAGAUUUUGCUGCAGCUCACCAGCAAGACAUGUAGUGAUGAAUUUGCAAUGUCUUCUGUGAGUAGGAGAGGUAAAGGUGGCAGCAGAUGCUGUAAAUAAUUUUUUCUCCAUCUCUAACAGGUGAAAACAGGACUAAGAAUGGUUUCUGAUUUUGAGAAUUUCAGAAUGAUUGGGGUUGCAUCUUCAUUCCAAACAACUUCAGCUCCAAGAGGACUUUCACAAACAGAGUCUUGCUCUAUCACCAGGCUGGAGUGCAGUGGCAUAAUCUCGGCUCACAGCAACACCCGCCUUCUGGGUUCAACCAUUUUUCUGCCUCAGCCUCCCAAGUAGCUCAACUUGGGACUACAGGUGUGUGCCACCAUGCCCGGGUAAUUUUUGUAUUUCUAAUAGGUAUGGAGUUUCACCAUGUUGGCCAAGAUGGGCGCAACCUCCUGAUCUCAUGAUCCACCUGCCUUGGUCUCCGAACACAUUCUUUUUCUCUCCCUUUCUCUCCCUCGUUCCCCCUCCUGAUUAGCACAAGUGAUUUAAACAUAGUAUGACAUGUAAGACAAAUCAGGUGGAGUCUUCUGAUGACAGAGCCACAUCCAAAGGCUCCGGAUUCCAUUCCUGACUUAAUCUUUCCUUAAUUAUUUUAAGUCAUUUAUCCAUAUUUAAAUGGACUAAACUUUCAAUUAACAGUUAUUCUUUUACUAAUAAAAAUUAUAAUGACCAGUUCCAUGGUAAGUUCAUGAAAACAGGCUGGACAUAAUCCUUAUCGAUCUUACAAUCUUUGUUCUAAUGCAUAUUUAGUAUUAAUCAAGAAAAUACCAAAUGAUAAUACUUGAAAUAAAAUGUAGGCUCAUAACUUCAAUAGCUAAUAAUGUGUAAUUUAUGUACUUAUUGAUAAUUCUGCUUUAAAACUUAAUGAAUUCUUAGGUAGUCAAAUUAGUGACAAGAUUCUACAUAUAACAUUACCUACUAGAUUAUUAUUAUUAUUAUUAUCAUUAUUAUUUUUGAGACAGAGUUUCACUCUUGUUACCCAGGCUGGAGUGCAGUGGCAAGAUCUCGGCUCACCACAACCUCCGCCUCCUGUGUUCAAGUAAUUCUCCUGCCUCAGCCUCCCGAGUAGCUGGGACUACAGGUGUGAGCCACCAUGCCCAGCUAAUUUUUGUAUUUUUAGCAGAGACAGGGUUUCAACAUGUUGACCAGGAUGGUCUCAUUCUCUUGACCUCAUCAUCCACCUGUCUCAGUCUCCCAAAGUGCUAGGAUUAUAGGUGUGAGCCACCGUGCCCGGCCCAACUAAAUUUUUUUAUUAUGAAACUUGAAAUGAAUCUCUAGUUAUAAGGACACCACUAACAAGCAUGAGCACAUGACUCCCUGCUGAUUUCACUGGAGAGAAAGAUUUGAAAAGAAUAUGAGCUCAUUGUUGAUUCUGUUGCACAUAAUAUCAGCUUAUUUAUGCACUCAGGGGAAUAAAACACAUUUCACUUUUCCAUGUCUUACACUAGUAGUGAAAUUUUAAGUUCUGAAGAGAGAAUUAGAAUAAUUAUUUUAUUUUUUUCAAAAUUACUUCUAUCUGAAAAACUUCCACUUUAUAACAAUGAUAUGCUUCUACUUAAGCUUUUCAAGUCUUACUCUUUUGUAACUAACUAUUCAUAAAUAGCCCUUUAUAACUAAUAUAUCAUAACCAUUUGGUACCUCCAUGCUUUCUUUGUGCAUGAAAUCAGUGCUAACUAUUGGCACUUGCCUUUUGCCAUUCUGAAAUCUAAAUGAAAUUCUCUCCUUAUGACUCUCUGUAAAGAAGAUGUGAGCCUUUACCUCAAAGGGCUCUUGAAACACAGCUAAUUAUAAGGGGAUAAUGAAAACUCACCAAUAGAGACCAUCUCAAUUAAACAAAAAUCAGUUUAUAUUGAUACAGAAAUUAAUUAUAUAUGACAGAAUAAUUGAAGAACUUUUCCUUGUGUAUUCAUAGAGAACCUAAACUUACAUGAAAGUAAGUAUUAGUUUUGGAGAAUUUAAUAAAGAUUAAAAUGAACUUCAACCAUAGACUUGAAAUAAAAUUUUAAAACCCCAAAUAAGUGGUAAGAAAAUAAUGCAAGUUUUCUAUGAUGAGUUUCUUUUAUCCAAAGUUGAAAUAGGGACAAUUUAUAUCUCAAUGCCAUUUGUCUUUUUAGAAAAAUCAUGUUAAUGAAGUAUAUGGACCAAUGCUUACUAAUUCUUUGGACACGUAGAAACCCCAGUGGUUUGUUUGAGUUUGCGCCAUAUAAAUUUAUGCAUCCCAAAGAACUUGUAAUACUAAUGGCAUUUAUCAGGUAUUGUUUGUAAAGGAUCUGAAUAAUAAUAGUCUAUCUGCUUUACUUCCUUUUCAGCAGAGGAAUCAUACAAAUUAGUGUGGGCCUGGAUAUAAUCCAUUUAGGAUGAUUCAUGAGAGUCAUAAAAAUGACCUCUCUUUUAAUUCCCAAGAAAGUAUUUUUCCAUUAGUUAUUUUUCUGCUUCUUUUUGUAAGGUCUGCUUUGAGGUUCUUUAACUCUGUCAAAUGUUUUAUGACUACUUUGAAAAAAUAACUAACAUCCACAAGACCACCACCAUCAAUGACAAUGCUAAACUUCAUAAAAAUAUAAGCUUAUGCUCUGGUAUUGAUAGAAGAAAAAUAUUAAGAAUAUCUGAACAUGCAUCAAGUAUAACGAUAUUGGAAAAAUGAAAACUAAUGUAGUGAAUACUUACGAAGUACUUUUAAAAUAGUAUCUUUGAUUUUAACAGUAUCUCUUGGGGCAGAUACAUGAAUUAGCCUCAUUUCACAAUUGAAAUGGAGCCUUAGAGAAAACAGGUAACAUUCCUGUGGCCCCACAUUUAAGAUGUGACAGAGCCAGUAGUCAAAUCCUGGUCUGUUUUCAACCAUACUUACCCUCUUAAUCACUAGGCAAAAUCUCUUUGUGGAUGGGUUACUAGAAUGCAAACCUAGAUGAUGAAGUCUUAGGGAAUAACAUUAAUUUAUUAAUUGUGAAGGUCAUCUAUGUACAACACUUUUUAAUAUCAUUACAAAUUAUACACCAGGUGAAAUUUGUAUUAGUUCUUAUGCAUAAGCUGAGAGUUUUUCUUCCACGGUUUAAGGGAAAAUAGUAAACAACUCUUUAAUUAUAUAUUUGUAUUUUUCUGGUACGUGACAAAGACUAGAUAACAGCUUUGGAGUAUAACAGAAAUUUAUGCACUGACAUUCAUGAAUAAGAACGAUAUCAGAUCUUGGAAAGAUUAGAAUAUGCGUAGUUUUGAAAAAUAUUCCCAUUAAUAGAUGCUGUAGACCUCUCUUCAUUUUCACUUCUGUUAUAAACAUUUUCCAUGCUGUUCCAUUGUCCCUUCAUUUUUAAGUUGAUCUAUAAUCUAUUUGGCUCUAUUCCUACCUUCUUUAUUUAACUUAUUUACUACUAGUGUUAUAACAGUAGAAAUAGUAGAAGUAAAGAGAAAAAGAUUAGAGUACGUGUAAUUUUUGGUGCCAAAAUAUAGAACCUAUUGCUUCACUGACUUUCUUUUGGGCAACAAAAGAACCCUUUUACUUUUCUUUAUGAGAUAAAAUUAUAACAUAGUGAGUAAAGCAAACGCUAUAGGUUUAGACCUAUUUAGGUUUAAAUGUUAGCUCAGCCAUUUACUAAGUAUAAACAUUGGAACAAGUAAUUCUUGUAUUCUCAGUUCAUUUCUAAAUUGAUACUGAUAUUAUCUAUAUUUUUUAAUGAGUUGGAGAUAAUUCAUAUAUUUAAUUGCACUUCAAAAAUGUAUUGAUGGCUUACUGUGAAUCAAACACCUUUCUUGGGCUGUACUAUGAGCAACAUAGAUAGUUUUUCUUACAGCUGAUGAUAUUUAUAUUUUCAAGAGGAGAGACUGGAACAAUUGACAUUAAUAAAAAAUUUUUUUUAGAAAGUGAUUUGGAGAAAGAAAAAACAUAGAGCAAGGUAAGGGACUGGGUAUGUGACUCAUGUAAUUUUAAUAUGUAAUAUUGUGUAGUAUUAGUGAGUGACAGAAUGGAAGAAGGUAAGAAGGAUGGCUAUGUGGAUCUCCUUGUGAAAAAUGUACAGCCAGUGCAAAGACCCAACAGAGGGAAUACUUUGUAUUAGAAGAACAAGAAGCACUGUGACAUGGAAAGUGAGUGAUAACUCACAGAGUUACAGAGCAGUUCAGGUUACAUAGGCUCUUCAGUGCAGGGAAACAUUCAAUAAAUGCAGCUGUUACUGUGUUUAGAUAAGAAAUGUUAGGCUUACCAACAGAAGAAAUAUUAUUCUGUAAUUAAAAAGAAUCCACAUAGCUUUGCAAAUGUUUAUUUAAUUUGCACUGUGCUUCAGGCAUUGCCCUGGUCACUAUAAAAACAUUCUCUCAUUUAUUUCCUAUGAAAGCCCUAUGUAAAAAAAUGCCAUUUCUAUGUCCACUAUGCAGAUGAGAAAACUGAAGCUCUAAUAGGCUAAGUAACUUGUCCAGGGUCACACUCUUAUUAUGUGACAGAGGUUUUAUGAAUGACUUUAAUAUGAUUUAUUUCUGUUAAACACAUAUAAAGCCUUGUUCCUAUGCAAAACAUACUUAUGACAUCCUUUUGGCUUCCAAGUUAUUUCCUUCCUUCCAUAUACUUCUCAGGUAGGCUCCAUUCAGUUCUCUCUCAUUACAGUCUUUCUAUAAAAAGCAUUCAGCAUACUGGUCACAGAAAAUAAAUUACUUUUCCAUGGUCUCUCUUUUAUUUCUCUCAUUCACUAGGGAUUAAAUUUAAUUGUCUUCUAGCUAUAAUUAGCUCAUUGAGUAGAGAUUUUAUUUUAAAUGUGAUCAAACAGCAACUUUGUGAUUUUUCUUUCUAAAUCAUAUAUUUCAGGGAUCCUUUUUAAAAAUUGUUUGUGGUUUAUUACUCUCAAGGUAUUCCUACUUGCAUUCACAUUGAUUAAUGGAAUCAUUGUAUUUUGGACAUUUUUAUAUUUGAAUGAUCUUGCUGUGUUAAAAGGGAAUUAUUAUCAGUCUUUGAUUUAAAUUCUUAAUAUGACAGUAUAAAGUCAGAUUUUAAUGUUGACAAAGUUAAAAAAAUGAAAAAAUGCAUAAUUACUUUGUGCAUAAAUGACACAACUAUUACAUGUUCUCUUUUUUCAAAAAUUAUCUAUUCCUUACUGCCAAUUUGAUAUUUUUAAAACUCGCCAUAAAAGAAACAUAAGUUCUUUUAUAUC
rnacentral:lncRNA from 1 species